rnacentral:lncRNA from 1 species
AGCCAGCACAUCACUUCUUUCUAUCUCUCACACAUACGAAAACAGCACAUGUGCAAACAGAUAUGAAUACAAGACAAUUGGAAACACCACAAAAUUCAAAUCGUAUAUACAUCACAACAUAAGAUGAGUAUUCAACGUUGGAAAUCAUAUGCCAACACAUUCUCAAAGAUUUCUCGUCCACUAUGUCAUUCAUAGACAACCGUAAAUCUAUUUUUCUUUGAUGGUUAUGAAGAUAACUUCAUUAUCUGCCCGACAAAUAUGGACUUGCAUUUGUUCUCCCUUAUCUUACGAAGUAGACCAUGUGGUAACCAGCUAAGUCAAGACGAAGCAAGAGGCCAAACAACACUCAACUGUGGUUGGGCAAUUAGAUGAGGUUCUUGGGCACCUCCUCCAAAGUGGUUGGCCAUCUCUCCUGGUGUGUUCCUUUGAAGUGAUUCUUUCGAGGUAAUCUCAUCGGAUGAUGUUGAAUUUUUGUUGAUACAUAAAAAAUUUCGGGGUGAUUAUAUUUAACAUUUUGAGUUUUAUUAAUAGGUUUCGGCUAAUAUUUAAUUAGCACUUCAAGUUUGGAACCAAAUCAAAAGUUCGACCCCAAAACUUAAUCAGGCACUGGCCCAUUUGGUUGUUAUAGCCCUUUAAACUGUGGAGUGUUAGACCAAAUUUUGGGCUUCGCACAUUUGUGUGGUUUACCAAACCAAGCUCUUGUUUGAGCCCCAUUUUUUUCCAUUAAAAUGUAUUCUUGAAAAAUGAUUUGACCUUAUUUUAAAUACACAUUUUACAAUAAAAUAAUGUUACUCGAAAGCCCAAAAAUCUUUCUUCUUUUUUAAUUAUACAUUCUCCAUCAUAACACUAUUGCAAAAUACUUUUUUGAAAAACAAAAAAAAAGGGCUCAAAGGAUACACACACACACACAUUUCUUUUUAAAUUGUUUAAGUGUGGAAAUUAAGAGAAAUCGAAAGCAGCGGCCAUAUCUUUCUCCCUUUGUUUGUAAGCGGCUUUUGUUUAAUCUUGUGUACGCUCUCUCUUCUCUUUGUGAUGCUACCUUCACCUUCCUUUUGUGGGAAAAACAUUUUGUGGAUACAUGGGCAAUCUUAGUGGUAUUGUUGGUUGAGCUUUAUGGUGUUGGAGUAAUCUUAUGGUGGAUUAAACUAAGCCAUAAACAUUAAGAUUUCAAGCAACGUAACGGCUAAACAUUAUGAUUAACACUUUGGGCCCAAUGAUGAAACCCAGUACUUGAGCCCAAUUAUGGAAUGUGACCUGGCUACCUCCCGUUUGAGCAUUCUCUCAUUCUUCCUACAAAAUUAAAGAAAUUGGUAAGAUUGUCUUUAAACUAGCAAAUGGGAAUGUACUGAUCUUGAAUAAGAUCAGAUAUAUAACUAACUUAAAGAAAUUUUGAUCUUUUUAGGUACACUUAAUGAUAAAGGUUUUGAUACAAUCAUAAAUAAAGGCAUUUUGGAAAUUUAAAAGAAUUUUGAAAAAGUUAUUCAUGUUGAAAAAUCAAAUGGGAUCUAUGUCUUGAAAGCUUUACCCUUACUAAACCAGUUUUAUUACUGUUACAGUUUCUCAAUCUGACAAAUCUGAAAUUUGAUACAAAAAACUUGGACAUAUUAUUGAUAAUAAUUAACAUAUUCUUAAGAAACAAGGCCAUUUAGGAAAUGAAAGGAUUGAAAGAAAAUCUUUUUGUGAACACUGUAUCUACGGGAAGAAAAAGAAAUUGCCUUUUGCUACUGGUAUUCAUAACUUAAAGUUUAUUCUUGAUUACUUAGAUGCCGAUCUGUGGGGACCAGUUACUAUAAGUACUUAUUAUGGUUACAAAUAUUACCUCCUUAUCAUUGAUGAUAAUUCAAAAAAAAAGUUCGAUCAUUCUUUCAAAAAAUAAAUCUGACACCUUCCAAAAUGAAUAUCAAGUAAACAAAAAUGUUAAAGUUCUUAAAACUGAAAAUGGCCUUGAAUUUUUCAAUGAAGAGUUUGACAAUUUCUGUAAAUAUAAUGGGAUCCUUAAACAUAUGAGUUGAUCCACAACAUAAUGGGCGAGUAGAAAGGACGAAUAAGACUUUGUUAGAAAAUGUGAGAUGCAUGUUGAUAAGCUCAGGUCUUCCAAAACUGUUCUAGAAGAAGCUGUUAAAACUACCUCAUAUUUAAUAAAUAAGUGUCCCACAAAAUCAUCGAAUUAUGAUACAUCCAAUCAUGUUUGGAAGGGUUAUCCUAUUGAUUAUUCCAAACUAUAGGUUUUUGGUUGUGCUUCAUAUGUACACCAAAAUGAAGGAAAACUUGAGCCCAGAUUUGUUAAAGGGAUUUUCUUAGGAUAUGGUGAAGGUGUCAAAAGUUAUAGAAUCUGGUUGAAAGAUCCGGGAGGCUAUAGAGUCAUAAUAAGUAGGAAUGUUAUCUUCAAUGAGAUGGACAUGCCCUGUACUGAAGAAAAAAAAUUGCUACCUUUGAAAAUGAUCAAAAUAGAUCUUUUAUACAAUCUGAACUUUUUCCAACUAAUUUAAAUCCUGGAAAUAACGAUCAAAUUGAGGUGGACCCUAUCCAACAACAAGAUACUGUUAUUGAACCUAAACCUGGACCUGUUAUUGAACCUUUAUCUGAUCUACUUGUAAAUCCCAUAGAAGAUUAUCAUCUAGCGAGAUAUAGAGUAAGAGGGGGAAAUAAAACCACCAUAAAGAUAGGAUGAAACCUAAUUCUGUUACUGCACUUAAUGUUCAAAAUUUUUUAGACAAUGAGCCUAACUCCUACGAUGAUGCCAUUAGAGGAAAAAAAAUGCAAGUUUCUGGCUUGCAGCCAUGGAAGUUGAAAUGCUUUCACUAGUUAAGAAUAAGACUUGGGUCUUAGUCAGUAAACCAAAAUGGCAAAGGGUUAUUGAUUGUAAAUGGGUUUAUAAGAUAAAAUAAAGGUGAAAAUGUGAGCUUCAAGGCAGAUUAGUUGCUAAGAAUUUUAACCAAAGAGAGGGAAUUGACUACAAUGAAAAUUUUUCUCCUAUAGUCAAAUAUACCUUUAUAUGGAUCUUACCUUCUCUUUCUUUACAACUCGAUUUUGAAUUGGAAAAAAUAGAUUUGAAAACUGUCCUCUUGCAUGGAAACUUAGAUGAAAAAAUCUACAUGACUCAACCAAAAGAUUUUGAACAAAAAGAAAAAGAAAACUGUGUGUUUUUCACAAAAAUCACUUUGUGGUAUAAAACAAGCCAUUAGAUAAUGGUACAUCAGGUUUGAUACUUUCAUAAAAUGACUUAACUUUAAUAGAAGUGAAUAUGAUCCAUGUUUCUAUUAUAAAGGUAAUGGAGGUCCUGGUUCCUAUUAUCUUUUGUUAUAUGUUGAUGAAAUGUUACUUCCCAGGUGUGAUGUAAAUAAGAUAAAUAAUAUUAAGUAAAAGUUAAAACAAGAAUUUGAAAUGAAAGAUAUAGGUUCUGUAAAAAGGAUUCUAGGAAUGGAAAUUAGAAGAAAUAGCGCUUAUGAUAGCCUGUUUCUUACACAACAAUCAUAUGUAUAUAAUGAUCUGUACCAAACCUGACCUUGCCUUUGCUGUAAGGUUUUUAAUUAGAUACAUGAAUAAUCCUGGUGAAUGUCAUUGGGAAGCCAUGAAAUGAUUGUUAAGAUACUUAAAAUGAACAUCUAACUUAGGGCUGAUGUUUAAUAGAGGUAAGGCUGGAAUUAAACUAAAAAAUUUUGUUAAUUCAAACUUUGUUAGUAACUGUGAUAAUAGAAAGUCUACAUCUAUUUACUCUAAAUGAUAUCUGCAUAAGUUGAAAAUCUUAACUGCAAAAUAUUGUAGCUCUAUCAUCAACAGAGGCUGGAUAUAUUGCAACCAUAGAUGCGGUGAAGGAAGGUAUAUAGCUAAAAAACUUGUUGGACGAAAUUGAUUUUUCUGGUAAUAAUGUUGUUAUAUGAUUUGACAGUCAAUCUGCUAUAUAUCCUUAUGUAAA